UAACUGGACCCCUCAGCCUUUAUAUGUAUUGAACAUGCAGGUGUGCCUACAGGACCUGGUUUGUUCACAAAGCUUCUGAAGCAGAAAGAGAAUUCAUGGGAAUCACCAGAGGGUAACAUGAAUAACCAUCCUACAAUGCUGAACCUUUCACUUUUCUGGAAUAUGAAAGCAGACCAUUUUUCUGCUCUUACUGUAUUUCUAAGCAUUUAAAUUAUGUUUUCACUUCUCUUAAUCUCUGCUGACUGAUGAAUGACUUAUGCUAUUUGUGCCAACUGACACACAGCCAAACUUGCUACCAGAAUUUCAAUGACAUAUAGGUAAGCAGCAGCUCCCAGUUUCAUAAAUCUGGUUAGAAGAAUCAUUUCACUGUCAAUGGUAACAGCAAGAGGUAAAUUUAAAAAGCUCGCAAGGUUAUUAACUUACUAAAAGGCAGCAGAAUUGUGUAAAUGAUAAAAAUUACUGAAAGUCAGAUUGCUGUGUUGCCUCUAAUGACAGUUACCUGUGUCACAUAAACAUUGUUCCUUUUUCUGGUUGGCAAUGGUAUAACAUGGAGAAGUACGUGGCAAAAUAUAGAAGACUUAAGGCCUCAAUGUGAAAAGAGGAGAUUCACUUAGAAAGCAGAAGGAUGAAGAAAGGAGCAGAGGAAGAAAAGGGGAAGAAAUAUGUACUGACUACAGCUUUCUGCACCUCCUUCUCCACUGGUGGGCCUGAACAUAGCCUAUGGAGAGGACAAGGGAAGUGAAGACAAGGAAGGGGAGAGGAGGAGUGUCCAGAGUGAUGCAGAGCCUGGGGAAGGGAGAGGAAAGGUGUUUCCCCCAUGUGUAUAAGAGUCUGUCUUCUUUGUUUCUCAAUAUCUGAAUCAGCAGUUAUGUUAGUAUUUAUGUUAACUGGCAAUAAAUUAAGCUAAAUUCUCCAAGCCAAGUCUAUUUUACCCAUGACAAUGUUUCUUAUGUCAGUAUGUAAAGAGAGAUGCUUUGUACUUGGAUAUUAAAAGUUUGGCAUUGGAAAUAAAUUAUCUGGUAAUUAAUUCAAUGUGGUAUAGUUUCAAAA